GUUCCGCCCCCCGCGGAGCAACUGGGUGAACCGUCGCAUUGUUGUAAGGGAGCCCACACACUCGUUCUCAGUACAGGUAUCCUUCGUUGUUAAGGACGCUGGAACAGACGAUGAGGGCACCCACCUUGUUAGGUGGGUUCAUUAACGUGAAGCGGGGGGCGGCAUU
rnacentral:other from 1 species